CAGCACCUCAAGUGGUCAGGAUGAUUAUUGGGCCUAAAGCAUCCGUAGCUCGUUUUGUAAGUUUUCGGUUAAAUCCAUGCGCUUAACGUAUGGGCUGCCGGGAAUACUGCAUAACUAGGAAGUGGGAGAGGUAGACGGUACUCGGUAGGAAGGGGUAAAAUCCUUUGAUCUAUUGAUGACCACCUGUGGCGAAGGCGGUCUACCAGAACACGUUCGACAGUGAGGGAUGAAAGCUGGGGGAGCAAACCGGAUUAGAUACCCGAGUAGUCC
rnacentral:rRNA from 1 species